rnacentral:lncRNA from 1 species
AAAUAAAAUAAAAUAAAAAUGCUGUGGGCCGCAAUGGGCUUAAUUCCGGGAUGGGCUUCAAAUAGAUUUGGAUUUAGAAGCCUGAAGCCGGGCUGGGUUCUGGUCCGAGCCCAAUAAUUUUUAACCCAGAAUUAACUGAACCAGUAUACAAUUGACCCAAGUCUGAACCAUUAAUUGGGUCAGAUCUGAACCAGUAUGCAAUUGACUUAGACUUGAACCAGUAAUUGGGUCAGAUCUGAGCCAGAAUGCAAAUGGGCCCAGACCUGAACCAGAGGGCAAUUUGGUCUAAACCAGAAGUGGAAUUGGCUCAGACCUGAACCAAAAGCUGAAUCAGACCUGAGCCAGAAAUUAAAUCAAACCCGAACUAGGAAGUAAAUUAGACCGGAACCAGAAAUUGAAUUGGGCCAUGGGCCUGAACCAUAAAUUAAAUUGGGCUAUGGACCCGAAAAUGAAAUUGAGUCCUAUGGAUGGGUUGUAAAUGACUUUAAGAUUAUAAAUAAAUAGAAAUUAAAUAUGUAAGUGACAUGUAAUUUAAUGAUCUUGCUAGGUAUUGGAGAAUUGGCAUUUGAUGGGCAAAUUAAGGUAAGUAA